CUGACUGUCACGGCCCAGGUCCAGUUCCCGGUUGGGGAGCUAGGAUCCUGCAAGCCUCUCAGUGCAGCCAAAGAAAGAAAGAAAUGGAAGCUGCAGGGAACCAUGCCAAGGUGCCUGCAGGAAGUCCCCCUGAAUUCCUUCUAAAGUAUCCUGUUUGUUUUUUCUCUCCAUGGGAUCCCGGGCACACCAGCCAUCUCGGGGGGCGUCACCUGCCGUCUUCCCUGAGGCCGACUUUGUUCAGGGCGGAGAAAAGAUUUCCUUUAGGAAAGAGAUCUGGGUCAAGACCACAGCUUUCAAAGGCAGCUCUGCAGAAGAGGGCUUCUCUGGCAGGAAGAUGGAGGCCCACCUGCUUGUCUCUUUGUUUCCUCCUGCCGUGGGGCUCCGCCUUCAUCCAGGAGCUGUGGCUGGAGGGACUGCUCCCCACUUCCAGUGGCUUCUGAUUUGGGGAGAGAGGAAGCUGGCUCUGCCCUGAAGAGCAGGCGGGUUUGCCCGGAAGGCUGUGAUGGGUGGUGGUGGAGAGACAGCGGGCCUUCAGAGGCGAGAGACAGAUGGGCGCUGGCGGAACAGCUGCAGUGUGGCCCCAGCCGGCGGAAACUGCAGGAUGAAGACCAGGAGGAGCUGAGCCCUGCCCAGGCAGACUCUUUGCCACUGAGCUGCCCAGGAGACCCAGAUACAGACUCAGAACCAGAGAAAGCAAGAUGACGGGGCAAAGGGAACCCAGAAGAACUGCCCGUAAGUGAUGCAAAGUGCCACGUGGGCGACACUCUCUGCGUCCUCGCAUCUAUCUAUCCACAUGAACUCUCUUUU